UACGUAGGGACCGAGCGUUGUCCGGAUUCAUUGGGCGUAAAGAGCUCGUAGGCGGCUGUUCAAGUCGAACGUGAAAACUCGGAGCUCAACUCCGAGCCUGCGUUCGAUACUGGAUGGCUAGAGUCUGGUAGGGGGAUCUGGAAUUCCCAGUGUAGCGGUGAAAUGCGUAGAUAUUGGGAGGAACACCAGUGGCGAAGGCGGCUCACUGGACCGGAACUGACGCUGAGGCGCGAAAGCGUGGGGAGCAAACAGG
rnacentral:rRNA from 1 species